GACGAACGCUGGCGGCGUGCUUAACACAUGCAAGUCGAACGGAAAGGCCCUGCUUUUGUGGGGUGCUCGAUUGGCGAACGGGUGAGUAACACGUGAGUAACCUGCCCUUGACUUUGGGAUAACUUCAGGAAACUGGGGCUAAUACCGGAUAGGAUCUCCUGCUGCAUGGUGGGGGUUGGAAAGUUUCGGCGGUUGGAGAUGGACUCGCGGCUUAUCGGCUUGUUAGUGGGGUAGUGGCUUACCAAGGCUUUGACGGGUAGCCGGCCUGAGAGGGUGACCGGGCACAUUGGGACUACGGUAGGGCCCAGACUCCUACGGGAGGCAGCAGUGGGGAAUAUUGCACAAUGGGCGGAAGCCUGAUGCAGCAACGCCGCGUGCGGGAUGACGGCCUUCGGGUUGUAAACCGCUUUCGCCUGUGACGAAGCGUGAGUGACGGUAAUGGGUAAAGAAGCACCGGCUAACUACGUG
rnacentral:rRNA from 1 species